rnacentral:rRNA from 1 species
AACGAACGCUGGCGGCAUGCCUAACACAUGCAAGUCGAACGAGACCUUCGGGUCUAGUGGCGCACGGGUGCGUAACGCGUGGGAACCUGCCCUUAGGUUCGGAAUAACUCCCCGAAAGGGGUGCUAAUACCGGAUAAUGUCUUCGGACCAAAGAUUUAUCGCCUUUGGAUGGUCCCGCGUUGGAUUCGCUAGUUGGUAGGGUAAAAGCCUACCAAGGCGACGAUCCAUAGCUGGUCUGAGAGGAAGAUCAGCCACACUGGGACUGAGACACGGCCCAGACUCCUACGGGAGGCAGCAGUGGGGAAUAUUGGACAAUGGGCGAAAGCCUGAUCCAGCAAUGCCGCGUGAGUGAUGAAGGCCUUAGGGUUGUAAAGCUCUUUUAACCGGGAUGAUAAUGACAGUACCGGGAGAAUAAGCUCCGGCUAACUCCGUG